rnacentral:rRNA from 1 species
UCCUACGGGAGGCAGCAGUGGGGAAUAUUGCACAAUGGGGGGAACCCUGAUGCAGCCAUGCCGCGUGUGUGAAGAAGGCCUUCGGGUUGUAAAGCACUUUCAGUUGUGAGGAAAGGUUAGUAGUUAAUACCUGCUAGCUGUGACGUUAGCAACAGAAGAAGCACCGGCUAACUCCGUGCCAGCAGCCGCGGUAAUACGGAGGGUGCGAGCGUUAAUCGGAAUUACUGGGCGUAAAGCGCACGCAGGCGGUUUGUUAAGCUAGAUGUGAAAGCCCCGAGCUCAACCUGGGAUGGUCAUUUAGAACUGGCAGACUAGAGUCUUGGAGAGGGGAGUGGAAUUCCUAGUGUAGCGGUGAAAUGCGUAGAUAUUAGAAGGAACAUCAGUGGCGAAGGCGACUCCCUGGCCAGAGACUGACGCUCAUGUGCGAAAGUGUGGGUAGCGAACAGGAUUAGAUACCCUGGUAGUCCACACCGUAAACGCUGUCUACUAGCUGUUUGUGAGUUUAACUCGUGAGUAG